rnacentral:rRNA from 1 species
UGGGGAAUAUUGCACAAUGGGGGAAACCCUGAUGCAGCGACGCCGCGUGGAGGAUGACGGCCUUCGGGUUGUAAACUCCUUUUGUCAGGGACAAUGGUGAUGGUACCUGACGAAUAAGCCACGGCUAACUCUGUGCCAGCAGCCGCGGUAAGACAGAGGUGGCGAGCGUUGUUCGGAAUUACUGGGCUUAAAGGGCGCGUAGGCGGUGGUUUAAGUCUAGGGUGGAAUGCUACAGCUCAACUGUAGAGCUGCCUUGGAAACUGGAUUACUUGAGUCGGUGAGGGGAAGUGGAAUUCCAGGUGUAGCGGUGAAAUGCGUAGAUAUCUGGAGAAGGUCUGUGGCGAAGGCGACCUUCUGGCACUUGACUGACGCUGAGGCGCGAAAGCGUGGGGAGCAAAC